rnacentral:misc_RNA from 1 species
GAUGAAGAACGUAGCGAAAUGCGAUACGUAAUGUGAAUUGCAGAAUUCAGUGAAUCAUCGAGUCUUUGAACGCACAUUGCGCCCCCUGGUAUUCCGGGGGGCAUGCCUGUCCGAGCGUCAUUGCUGCCCUCAAGCACGGCUUGUGUGUUGGGCCUCCGCCCCCCGGCUCCCGGGGGGCGGGCCCGAAAGGCAGUGGCGGCACCGCGUCCGGUCCUCGAGCGUAUGGGGCUUCGUCACCCGCUCCGUAGGCCCGGCCGGCGCCCGCCGGCGACCCCCCUCAAUCUUUCCAGGUUGACCUCGGAUCAGGUAGGGAUACCCGCUGAACUUAAGCAUAUCAAUAAGCGGAGGA